GAAUAUCUGGUUGGUUGAAUUACUUAUUGAUUGACUGAGAUACAGCACAGAGUAGGCCCUUCCAGCCCUUCGAGCUGUGCUGCCUAGCAACUCCGGAUUUCACCCCACCCUAAGCACAGGACAAUUUACAACGACCAAUUAACCUAACAACCAGUACGUCUUUGGAACUUGGGAGGAAACCGGAGCUCCUGGAGGAAAUCUGCACAGUCACAGGGAGAAUGACAGGAGUUUAACGCAUUCACUGGUACUGUAAAGCGUUGUUCUAACCACUGUGCCACCCCAAUUUUGAGCUGCUAAAUCUAUUCUAAAUCUACCUGAUGUGUACAAUAAGAGUAAUGUAGACGCCAAUGAAAGUUGCCUUCAAUGUGAGGAUGAGAGAGAAUCCAAAACUUGCUUUGACUGUCUUUCUACUAAUACCACCUUCGACAACUGUAUCAAAUGACUCUGUCAUACAUUCUCCCUUUAGGAUAGCAGCCCAGUUUGUUAAUUUUCCUUCAGUCAAUACUUCUGAUGUUUAAAAUAAAUUUAUUACAGUAUGUGUAUGUCACCUUACGGUCCCUCUAUCCUCCAAGUGCUGUUAAUAAUUGGAGUGGUAAGCCUAACAAAUGUUAGUUGGCAGAUACUUUGUCAAAAGCUUGUUUGCUGAGGUCUUUGAGAGAUCCCUUCCCUGAAAACUGAAGCAGUGUUACUUCAGAAUCUUGCAUUAGAGACCUUGGAACAUAGAAGUUCGAGAAAUUUGAAAGAAGUACAGUUGGCCCUCCUUAUCUGCGGAUUCCACAUGUGCGAUUUCAACCAACAGCGGAUCGGGAAAACCCAGAAGUUCUCUCUCCAGCCUCAUAGUUUGAGCAUGUACAGACUAUUAUUUCUUGUCGUUACUCCCUAAACAAUACAGUGUAGCAACUAUUUACAUAGGAUUCACAUUGUAUUAGGUAUUAUAAGUAAUCUAGAGAUUAUUUUAAAGUACAGGCAGUCCCUGGGUUAUGAAUGAGUUCCAUUCCCGAGUCCAUCUUUAAGUCAGAAUUGAAGUCGGAACAGGUACAUCUGGUCUUAUUUAGCGUCAGUUAGUCAAAUGUUUUUCUUAGUAUAUAGUAUAUAUUUUACCUUUCUAUGCAUAUAAAACUUAAGAAACAUAUGUAUUUCAAUAAUUAAACCACUGCAUUGCUUAGUAAUAAUUGUAGUUUUCAUCACACAGAACAACAGCAAAGCAAAUCUCUCACCUCCCUCUCACCCACGUAGCCGUGCAUACACACAGACAAUCCUCUAACUCCAGGACAGCCCAUCUCUGGACCUCCAGCCACCAAUAGACUCCCAGACACUGGACCUUUAACUUUGCUAAUGGAUUUACAUAUCCAAGGCUUUGGCCGCCAGGGCUCAUCUUCCAAACUUCAAUUGACCUUCAGGCUUCGAUCUUCUGUACCCACCCCAGGACUCGCCAAUUUUGACUACUGAAGGACCCCAAGCACCAGGCCUCAAACUCUGGACUUGAGCCAAUAAAUCUCGCAGAUUUCUACAGAUGUACCAUGGAGAGCAUUCCAAUUGCCUACAUCACCGCCUGGUAUGGAAGGGAGGAGUGCUAAUCCACAGGAUCAAAGGCAGCGCGACGCAACUUGCAGCGGCCACUCCGGAACUGAUUAUCUGUUAUUUGUGAAGUGGGGUGCCGUGCGCAAUCAUAAUCGAUUGUAAACCGACGUGGGAGCACGGAGGAACAUCGGGAAAUCUCCAGGAAGACCUUCUUCGUUGCUGCUGCUGUUGUGAGGUCCGGGACUCUGCUGGGAAGUACAGGCCCCCAGUCCUCGGGGUCGCGUUACCGAUGGCCAUUGGCGGGGCCCUCUUAACACGCUCGGCAGAGGAUGGUGCUUGGAAAAACUGUACCGGAGGGGAUGGUCGGAGGCUCGGAGAUUCAACGGACUCGGAGUCCGCUGCGGACAGGUCGUUUUCGGUGUGUGCUGUGUCUGCGAGGCUGAGUCGGGCGGCGCCGUGGAAGUCCAUAGUGGGGGUAUUCCCUUUUGCCGCCGGCAUGGAAUGGCAAGUCUGUCAGGAUCCUGGGGACUUGUGGAAACUGUGUGGUGAUUUCUUUUGAACUUAUAGUCCUUUAACGUCUUUGGACUAUUUUUACCGUGUCCAUGGUCUGUUUUUUUUUUAUCAAUUAUGCAAUUGUUUGCACUGUUGUAACUAUAUUUUGUAACUAUGUGGUUUUGUGCAGGUUUUGUAGCUUUAGUUUUUGGUCUUGUUUUGUCUGGGGAGCUCCUUUCCGGGGAACGCGCUAGAUGGUAGCGCAAUAUUAACACGCAGCAGCCUCUCCGGACACUGGAUUGGGGAUUGCUAAACGUUAUGUGGAUUUUCUGGUGUAGUCUGUUUUGUCAUAUGCUUUUGUGAUAUCAUUCUGGAGGAACGUUGUCUCAUUUUUUAACUGCAUUGCAUUUGUGGUUUCUAAAUGACAAUAAACUUAGUCUGAAUCUGAACUGUAGCAUGCCCUUUGGCCUUGGGGCAUCCACCACUGCUUGAAUAUUCUGAGCACACUUGUGUAAUUCUUGUGAGUCAAUAGUGUGACCACAGUUAGUGAUGCUUGUUUUAAAGAAUUCACAUGAGUUGUGUAGUGCUCUGAGCCAAUAAACUUAUCGUCUUUUUAACACUGUCUUAAGAUUUUGGAGAUGUUCCUUGUCAUCCUUGCUGGUAACAAUGAUGUCAUCCAGAUAAUACUGAGUGCCUGAGCAGCCUUGCAGCAACAGGCACAUAG